UUUUAGAAGCUUACUGGCUUCGAAGUCAUGAGAACUCUGAAGUUAAGCGAGUUUAGGCUAGAGUAAUCCCAAGAUGGGUGACCUACUGGAAAGUUACUCGUGAGUUCCAAGAA
rnacentral:rRNA from 1 species